rnacentral:rRNA from 1 species
CUGCUGCCUCCCGUAGGAGUUUGGACCGUGUCUCAGUUCCAAUGUGGGGGACCUUCCUCUCAGAACCCCUAUCCAUCGUCGUCUUGGUGGGCCGUUACCCCGCCAACUAACUAAUGGAACGCAUCCCCAUCGAUAACCGAAAUUCUUUAAUAUCAAGAUCAUGCGACCUUGAUAUCCUAUCGGAUAUUAAUCUUUCUUUCGAAAGGCUAUCCCCGAGUUAUCGGCAGGUUGGAUACGUGUUACUCACCCGUGCGCCGGUCACCAUCGGAAG